rnacentral:lncRNA from 1 species
AAAAUAUGUGGUGACAAGAAAGCAUUGCUGUAACAUACCAUGUGAGGAUGAUUCAAAGAUAAAGGCCUAUAAAAAUUAACGGUCAAAGAAGAAUGCGGACUAGUAAAGCAACAACCACCUUAUUAUAAACAGAGGUCUCUCCCUACUAGAAUGCAAGUUCCACGAGAGCAGAAUUUUUGUCUGCGUGGUUAGAAGAGUAUCCAGUACAUACUUAAAAUGUAUCACAGGAGGAGGAUCCAAGAUGGCGCCAUGAGUAGUCCUCUUUGUCUCUCCCCCUUCGAGUCUACAAUUAUUUGGACACUCAUCGCUUAACAAAGGAUAUCCAGAUAGCAUCUCAGGACGUCUGAGAGACCCAUGCGACUAUACAUCGGAAGGCGGACGGACUUCCCUCCGGGAGGAUGUGGACAUAGGUGAAAACUCUCCGACCCUGACCGAACAGCCUAGUACCUGCAAGAGGCUUUCUUCCAACGGACGCCCCCAGAAGAUCAACACACACCUAGGGCAGGAGCAAGCACACAGCAGAGGAGCGACGGUGGAAACAGGAAGUGCUCAUGGAUACAGAAGAGUGUGCUGUAUGGACCAUCCAGGGUUCUUUGCUACCCUGGUGCUUCCCGAGUGGCCCUACCUGGUGUACUGUGCUGUCUCCUGGGGACUGUGAGAAUAUCAAAACUGUGCAACUCUUUCCAGUUUCCCUCUCUUGAUCUGUGUUUGUCUUCACCAUACCUCACCCAAGGUAAUAUGGUUAAAAUAACUGUUAACUCAUAUUGACAAAAAU